AAGAAAGUAAUAAAGGGCGUAUGGGGGAUGCCUAGGCUCUUGGAGGCGACGAAAGACGUGGUAAGCUGCGAUAAGCCUCGGGGAUUUGCAAACGAGAAUUGAUCCGAGGAUUUCUGAAUGGGACAACCCGCUAGGCAGAAGGCCUAGCACACAAAAGUGGGCCAACCCUCUGAACUGAAACAUCUUAGUAGGAGGAGGAAAAGAAAGAAACAUCGAUUUCCUAAGUAGCGGCGAGCGAACGGGAAGAAGCCUAAACCGUAAUUGUUACGGCAAUUGCGGGGUUGUAGGACUGCAAUAUUCAAGUGACUGUCAACUGGAAUGUUCUGGAAAGUUCAUCCAUAGAGAGUGAAAGACUCGUACAGGUAAGCACGUUAUGCGAUAGCAGUAUCCUGAGUAGGGCGGGACACGAGGAAUCCUGUCUGAAUCUGCCGGGACCACCCGGUAAGGCUAAAUACUCCCAAGAGACCGAUAGUGAACCAGUACCGUGAGGGAAAGGUGAAAAGAACCCCGAACAGGGGAGUGAAAUAGAACCUGAAACCAUACGCUUACAACCUGUCGGAGCAGCUUCGUGCUGUGACGGCGUGCCUAUUGAAUAAUGAGCCUACGAGUUACUAAUCACUGGCGAGGUUAAGUGCACGGAUGCACGGAGCCGAAGCGAAAGCGAGUCUUAAUAGGGCGUUUAGUCAGUGGUUGUAGACGCGAAA
rnacentral:rRNA from 1 species